rnacentral:lncRNA from 1 species
CACUCCGAGGUGCAUAGUACCCGGUCAAGGUGCACGAGCGUCGGCGGCGAUUGCUCGUUGGACCAAGUAAAGCGGCGCCCGUUGAGGUAGACUUCCUUCAAGGCAAGGUCGUUGAUGGCACGCCGGAAUCUGCCCAUCAUGCGGCGAUUCAGGUUGCCCGAACUCUUGUCAGCAUCCCGGUAGAUGAGGUUGAAAUCGCCC